AUUGAACGCUGGCGGCAUGCCUUACACAUGCACGUCGAACGGCAGCACGGGGCAACCUGGUGGAGAGUGGCGAACGGGUGAGUAAUGCAUCGGAACGUACCUUUAAGAGGGGGAUAACGUAGAGAAAGUUACGCCAAUACCGCAUAUUCUGUGAGCAGGCAAGCAGGGGAUCGGAAGACCUUGCGCUGAUUGAGCGGCCGAUGGCAGAUUAGCUAGUUGGUGAGGUAAAGGCUCACCAAGGCGACGAUCGGUAGCGGGUCUGAGAGGAUGACCCGCCACACUGGAACUGAGACACGGUCCAGACUCCUACGGGAGGCAGCAGUGGGGAAUUUUGGACAAUGGGGGCAACCCUGAUCCAGCCAUGCCGCGUGAGUGAAGAAGGCCUUCGGGUUGUAAAGCUCUUUCGGCCGGGAAGAAAUCGCACGGGCUAAUACCCUGUGUGGAUGACGGUACCGGAAUAAGAAGCACCGGCUAACUACGUGCCAGCCGCCGCUGUAAUAC
rnacentral:rRNA from 1 species